AGCGGCGGACGGGUGAGUAACGCAUGGGAACUUACCCAGUAGUGGGGGAUAGCCCGGGGAAACCCGGAUUAAUACCGCAUACGCCCUGAGGGGGAAAGCGGGCUCCGGCUCGCGCUAUUGGAUGGGCCCAUGUCGGAUUANUUAGUUGGUGGGGUAAUGGCCUACCAAGGCGACGAUUCUUAGCUGGUCUGAGAGGAUGAUCAGCCACACCGGGACUGAAACACNGCCCGGACUCCUACGGGAGGCANCAGUGGGGAAUAUUGGACAAUGGGGGCAACCCUGAUCCAGCCAUGCCUCGUGUGUNAAGAAUGCCUUAUGGUUGUAAANCACUUUNACCACGGAAGAA
rnacentral:rRNA from 1 species